CCUACGGGUGGCAGCAGUGAGGAAUAUUGGUCAAUGGGCGUAAGCCUGAACCAGCCAAGUCGCGUGAGGGAUGAAGGUUCUAUGGAUCGUAGACCUCUUUUAUAAGGGAAUAAAGUGUGGGACGUGUCCUGUUUUGUAUGUACCUUAUGAAUAAGGAUCGGCUAACUCCGUGCCAGCAGCCGCGGUAAUACGGAGGAUCCGAGCGUUAUCCGGAUUUAUUUGGUUUAAGGGGUGAGUAGGCGGCCUUUUAAGUCAGCGGUGAAAGUCUGUGGCUCAACCAUAGAAUUGCCGUUGAUACUGGGAGGCUUGAGUAUGUUUGAGGCAGGCAGAAUGCGUGGUGUAGCGGUGAAAUGCUUAGAGAUCACGCAGAACCCCGAUUGCGAAGGCAGCCUGCCAAGCCAUGACUGACGCUGAUGCACGAAAGCGUGGGGAUCAAACAGGAUUAGAUACCCCAGUAGUC
rnacentral:rRNA from 1 species